UUUAAUGGUUUCAUUCAUGAAAACUGUUGAGAGACAGUGGAGAAUCAAAGGUUCGUGUAAAGAGAUGUAACUUGACUUUAAACAGCCAGAGGAGAGAACGGGACGUAGUGAGAGUGAUGAUAACCAGCGGGAGGGAUGUUGGUGUUCACACUGUUUCCUCCAAGAAGACGAAUGUUCAGUUUAUUAUGAAGAUUCGAAACCUGCUCAGAUCAAACAUGGACAGAGUCAUGCAGGGAAUUACAUGACGGCGCUUUGAUCUUUGCUCCAAUAAGAAUGAAGACGGUCAUUGAGACACAGCCAGUGAGGGAAACCUCCAUCAUCCUCCGACUGCUCCUGAGGAAGUCACCUGUGGGUCCAGUGUGGUGUUCAGGGAUCAUUUCUCAAAUUAAAAAUAAAGCCACCGUAUUUAACACUUGGUCUUAGACUUGGAUGCGGUCAGUGACAGUCUGAAGUUCCAUCUGCAGAUGUUCUCAGCUUCUCAGUUUUGCUUCCUGCUUCUUUCAUUGGCUUUUUUGUCUUCAGACUGAAUCGGGACAGUCGAGAUGAUUCCAAAGUUUCGGCCCAAAGAACAGUCGUCGUCUCGUCUUUCAGCAUCUGUUGUCCCGUUGAGCUGGAAGGCGAAGCUUUCGAUUUACGUUCCGGUCCUCACCUGUGGUCAUGAGCGCUGGGUAAUGACUGAAAGAACGAGAUCGGGAAUACAAGUGACCAAAAUGAGCUUCCUCCGUAGGGCGCCUGGACUCAGCCUCAGAGAUGAGGUGAGGAGUUCAGACAUCUGGAGGGAGGAGAGCCUCGGGCAUCUUGUCAGGACGCCACCUGGGCAGGUUCCUUCAGAGGGUUACCAGGCUCGUCCAACUGGGAGGCGACCUAGUGGUAGACCCGCAGCCCGCUGAAGGGACGACAUAUCCCACCUGGCCUGGGAGGAGCUGGAAAGCCUGGCCGGACAGAGGGAGGUCUGGAACACCCUGCAGCCGGUCGCUUCCACGACCCAAGGAAAAUACAAGGAUGGAUGCAAAGGAAGAAGUCAGGAGAAGCACUCUCUGGUUCCAUCCAUCUCUGGUGUCUGGAAGCUUCUUGCUUUCACAUGGCUCAGAAUAAUCACAGACACCCUGAUAUAUAUUAUAUAUAUUUUACAAUAGAGAAUUUGUCUCUAUAAAACCUUUAUUAUUCUUGAGCCGUUCGUAGACGUUGCCCUCGUUGACAGCGAUGUCGAGUGAGCAAACAUCAUCAUCGUCAAUGAUCACACACAAAUAAAAUCAACGUCUCAAAUCAA